AGAUAAGGCGAAUACGGCCAGAUACAGGAAAAGGAUAAUGCCAAGUUCAACUUGGGAUAGAAUGUGAAGUUAAGUUGUAAAGUAUGUUGAAGAAUAGUAUUGUCAUGUGUUAGACAGUUCACGAUUGUGUAUUAGUUAAGGUUACUCGAUUUUGGGAAUAGUGUGUAAAGUUUAAUGUAUAAACAAUCUAUGUUUAUAUCUUCCGCAAUAGUGAUAGAAUUAGUAUACCGGAUCCGCGACGAUUCGGGACCCGGAUUCGGGGAUGCUACAUUUAUGGACCAUGAGUCUGUUUGUUUUGUUCUUUCAAAAAGACAGCUAAUUCUGCUAUCUAUUUUCUUAGUCCCUCGAAGUCCUCUUGAAAAUAGGAGUAGAUUUAAGUUGGGCACUUGUAGCCAUGUCUGAAUGUGGGCUUAGUGCCUUUUUGGACUUUGAACGGGUAACGGGACCAAUUGUUUCCCUAUAAAAAGACUAUGUAGUUUAGUCUGGAUAAACAUUAAGAGGUUGUAUGCUAUGCAAUGUGUCUGUUUUAGGAGUUUUUUAAUGUUUUCAUGCAAAACAGAUGUCAGUUGUUUUGAUGACAGGAUAACAUGACAGUUAUUGAUAGGG
rnacentral:lncRNA from 1 species